rnacentral:rRNA from 1 species
AUUUGACCUCAAAUCAGGUAGGAGUACCCGCUGAACUUAAGCAUAUCAAUAAGCGGAGGAAAAGAAAAUAACAAUGAUUCCCCUAGUAACUGCGAGUGAAGAGGGACAAGCUCAAAUUUUAAAUCUGUUAGGUUUACCUAACCGAGUUGUAAUUUGAAGAGGCGUUUUCUGUGUUUCUGAUCAGCCCAAGUCCUUUGGGAUAGGGCAUCAUGGAGGGUGAGAAUCCCGUUCGGUUGGUCAGAUUCGCUUUACGAUACGUCAUCUAAGAGUCAAGUUGUUUGGGAUUGCAGCUUAAAAUGGGAGGUAAAUUUCUCCUAAGGCUAAAUAACGGCGAGAGACCGAUAGCGAACAAGUACCGUGAGGGAAAGAUGAAAAGAACUUUGAAAAGAGAGUUAAACAGUACGUGAAAUUGUUGAAAGGGAAACGAUUGAAGCCAGUCGUACCUUCGGGUAAUCAGCCUUUCGGGUGCGAUUCUGUGGAGCGUGAGGAGUUAAACGCCUUCAUGCCUGCAUAUUCGUGCACUUUGGGUGUACUUGCCCGUGUGGUAGGUUAACAUCAAUUUCGGAUAUCAUAAAAUGGCUGGAGGAAUGUAGCUUCGGUCUCGUACUGAAGUGUUAUAGCCUCUGGUAGAUGUGAUGACCGGGAUUGAGGAUUGCAACGAAUACCUUUUGGGCUACCCGCCUGAUCUCUGAAAGUUGCUCUGGUGCCGAAAGCUUGCUUACGGUUAUCAAAGUUGACGUUCAAAAGGUUAGAACGGGUUAAAUUCGUUAAGGAUGUUGACGUAAUGGCUUUAAACGACCCGUCUUGAAACACGGACCAAGGAGUCUAACAUAUAUGCGAGUGUUA